AGGUCCGUAGCUCAAUUGGUAGAGCACCGGUCUCCAAAACCGGGGGUUGCAGGUUCGAUUCCUGCCGGGCCUG
rfam:Actinobacteria bacterium 13_2_20CM_2_66_6 13_2_20cm_2_scaffold_5237, whole genome shotgun sequence.